GACGAACGCUGGCGGCGUGCUUAACACAUGCAAGUCGAACGGAAAGGCCUGUCCUUCCUUGUGUUGGACGGGUACUCGAGUGGCGAACGGGUGAGUAACACGUGAGUGAUCUGCCCCCAACUUGGGUAUAAGCCUGGGAAACUGGGUCUAAUUCCCGAUAGGACUGCAGGGUGGUGCCUGUGGUGGAAAACGAUUUUCUAGUGGUUGGGGAUGAGCUCGCGGCCUAUCAGCUUGUUGGUGGGGUAAUGGCCUACCAAGGCGGCGACGGGUAGCCGGCCUGGGAGGGUGGACGGCCACAUUGGGACUGAGAUACGGCCCAGACUCCUACGGGAGGCAGCAGUGGGGAAUAUUGCACAAUGGGCGGAAGCCUGAGGCAGCGACGCCGCGUGGGGGAUGACGGCCUUCGGGUUGUAAACUCCUUUCGACCGCGAGGAAGCCGCCUGGUUGGAAGGGUGGUGACGGUAGUGGUAGAAGAAGCACCGGCUAACUACGUG
rnacentral:rRNA from 1 species